CAUAUGGAAGUUCCUACACUAGGGGUCACAUUGGAGCUGCAGCUGCUGGUCUACACCACAGCUCACUGGAAAUGCUGGAUCUUAAACCCACUCAGCAAGGCCAGGGUUCAAACCCACAUCCUCAUGGAUACAAGUCUGGUUCGUUACUGCUGAGCCACAACAGGAACACCGGGAUUUAAUUUCUUACAUUCCUCUAAGAUAUAUAUGCUACAUCGCAUAUUUAUAAUUAGUACUCUCCAGAUGUUGCCAUGGGAACAUGAGAUCUUUAAAGUCAGAAGGCAGAUCUUAUGUAUCUUUUCAUUUUUACUUUCCCAUUAGCUAUUGAGUAUUAGAGUUUAAAAAAAAAAAGACGAAAAUUUCUGUAGCGAAUUAACUAGUGUUCUAUAGGAAUCAGUAAAUUUGGGUUAACAGAGUCCCUCUAACUGGGGUAACAUAUAUCUAUUCUUAACACUGAACUGAUUUGAUUUGUAAGGAGGAAAAGAGAGAAAGCUAAGAUUUAUUGAGAACCUACUAUAUGCAAAGCAAAGUACCAAGUGCUUUGUGCUUGUAUUUAUUGUGGACUUUUUUCUUUCAAUAGUAUUUGAUUUGGAUUUAAAGGAUGAUACUGUCCAUGGGUAAGAGUUAAUGUAACUUACCUAUUAAGGUCACACUUACUAUAACCCAUCAAAAUGUAUCAACUUAUGAUAAAAACAUUUUUCAAAUAGAGUCUGAGUUUGUAGGUAGUAUAAUAAAAAGACAAUUUUAUAUCUACUGGCAAAAGUGAUGCACACUGCAUCAAUCUAAUGAAUUAAUAAUAAUCAAUGAGCAGUCAAUAUCUGUAUCUUUUAUUUUACAAUAAAAGUUGGCAAAGCUAAUACUUUUGGAUCCUUUUGAAUUAGUGAAAGAGUAAAUAGAUUCCUACAUCUGGAGAAAUGUGGUUGUAGCUUUGUUCUGAUUUCUGUAUCCAAUGCCAGGUAUCCAUCACCUGGGGUGGGGUGCUAUUUUGGUAAAAUAGAUCUCAUUACUUAUUUUCAGAAGAAUGUGCUCUUUCAGACCGAUGCUAUUGUUAAUGGAACUUUGAUUUUAGUGAGCAAAUGCCAAGAAAGUUUUUAAACACUCUGUUAUCCUUCCCAUCAAUUUAUAUCAGCCAGACAUAACAUAUGUGAGAAGUUAUCGAAAUUCUUCAGCAAUAAAACUGAAAUGAUGAAAGCUUUGCUUCCCCUUAGGUAUCAACCAGUAUCAGUAACCAAGUUGUUUUCAUUCUCUCUUUUUUAUUGUUUAAGGCUGGAGCAUAUUACUCUUGAUUCUUGCCAAGGUUCUAUGGCAUUAUUGUUUGAGACUCACCAGAUGUGUCUUUGAUCCCUGCCCAGUAGGUACCCUGGCCACAUGCCAGUCUGCCAUUUAUUCUUGUUACAAUUUUGAUUUUUUCACUUGUUUCUGAUUCUACCCAUCCUGUCAUCUUGCAGACCCUUAAAUUGACAACUUUGGGACCAAAGGGACCUAUAAUUUAACCUGUUUUAAUUGGAACCUUUUCUCCCAAGGACUUGCUACUAUUCUUGAGACACUUUGCUUAGGAUAUAAGUGAUGCAUAACUGUAAUAUAUUAUUGUCAUUUUAGAUGGAGAAGAGAUAGGGAGAAUGAUGGGAGUAUGUGGCUUUGGUCUAGUUUUCUCCCUUGUGAAUCAGUCAAGGUGUCUGAACUCUAGUGUAAAAUUCUCAGGCUCUCUGACCUAAAUUGAAUCUUCGUUCAGAUCAGCAUUUCUUGGGUCCUAGCUUUACUUUCCUAGAGGGUAUAAGAAUUUCAGAAUGCACUGAAAAAUUUGGGUAAACAUUAAUCUCAGAAAAAUUCUCAAGUUAGAAUUCUGAACAAUAUGGAGGGUAAUCUGCUGUGAGGUAUACCUCUCCCGCCCUUCAAAUGCUAACAUCAAGGACAUACUGAGGGACUUAAUACUGCCAAGAAGCUCAGAGGAGGUCUUGAUAGUCAGAGGCUGGAGCUUUAAUCACAUGGGAAGGUCCUUCUCAACCAAUUGCCAUCUGAGGAUAGAAAGCUAAUUGAGCCAAGUCAUAAACCACUGGAUCUUCUAAGGUGACUCCAUGUAUGGGAGACGAAAAGAGUUCACCUGAGUCUGUGAGUGAGAAGUUAAAUCCCUGGAAUAAAAUUGAAGCCAAGUUACACUGUGCCUGGCUUUAAGUUCCCGACUCAUAAUAUCCUGUGGUACCCCAAGCUAAGAUGUUAGCAAGAAAAUAAUCCUAGAAUUGACAAGGCAGACUCAUUAGAAUUCUGGCCAAGCAAACAGGAAACCAUUCUUUAGAGGCAUUGCAAUCAUUCAUACAAGAUUCCCACAGAACUCCUUCGCAAAUAACCCCCCCAAAACCUUCACCAAAGAUAAGCUCAUGCAAGAAAAAUCACUAAGCAAGAAAAUACUGUAUAUAAGAAAGACUUCGUUCAAAAUAUAAAUAGAAGUGACAGAAAUACAACUGUAGUGGAAGAGCUCCACUGCCAUGCUAUUUUGGGAAGAUUAUUUAGAUAAUUAUAUGAACAUUCAUAAGAUCACAUUCUAGUAGCCAAUUUCCCUUUCAAAAAUAAUUAAAAGGCUAAACAUUAGAGGAUUAUUGAAGAAAUGAUUUAUAUAUACAUAUACACAACUCUUGAAUAAACAUUAGCAUCCUAAAUUUAAAGAGUUUAAAUCAAUGUUAAAUUAAAAGGAAAACAUUAAUUUAUUUUUUCUCUAAAAGAAAAUAUAUUAAAGUAUUGCUAGCAUUAUAAUGAUAGGUGACUUCCUUGAUAUCUUUAUGCAUCUUCUGUAUUUCUCAAAGGGUCUGCAAUGAAGAACAAGAUUAGAAUUAUAGGACGGCAAGCAAGAGCCUAAAACUUGGAGAAUUACACACAAGCUGAUAUUUCUGGAAGGCUCACCACUAUACCACCAACGCUGCACACAAGCUGAUACUUUUGGAGGGAAGGAUGAAUUCAGAAAAUGGGCAGGAGUUAAGCCUAGAAAGGUAACUAAACGUCUCAUUGAGAACAAGUCACUAUGUGAUUUUAAGAAAUAAUUCUUCUCUGCAAAAGUCAGGGGAACUCUUCAAGAAGUCUAAGCUUACAAAUAUGGACCAGAUAUAUAUUUUCAAAAAUGCUCAGGCCUUACAGUGUAGAUUUGUGAAUGCAAAAUAAAACAGAAAACCAGGCGGCAGUAGUAAACUUAGCUAACAAUCAUUGGGUGCCCCAAACCAUGUGUUGAACACUUGAUAGAUUUUAGCUCUUUUAAUCUUUGUAACAGCUCUGUCAGGUAGGAACUUUUAUCAUCACCCUCUUAUAGAUAAGAAUUGAAGGAUAAAGAACUUGCAAAGGUCAUUCAGUUGGUAUCUGGUGGAGUCAGGCUCCCAUCUCUGGUAAUCUAAAACCAGCACUUAGGCUCUUCCCCCAGCGCUGUGAGGGUGCCUUUCCGAGAGAAGGAGUGGGGGUGGGGCGGUGGUGGUGGUGGAAGUCAACUGGAAAACUGAGAGACAAUGGAUGGGUGGAUCCAAGAUGUUAACUAACUUCUCUGAUUGAUUAGAUUUGAAGCAGGUAGACUUGAAUGAUUUCACAUGACCAUUAGAGCCACAUGGAUGGACCCAGAAAUGAUCAUACUAAGUGAAGUAAGUUAGAAAGAUAAAGCUAAGUCUCAUAUGAUAUCACUUAUAUGUGGAAUUUUAAAAAAAUGAUACAAAUGAAUUUAUGUAUGGAACUGAAACAUAAAUUUAUGGUUACCAAAGGGGAAAAGGGAUAGGGGAGAGAUAAAUUAAGACUGAGGGAUUAGCAUAUACACACCGCUACAUUUGAAAUAGAUACACAACAAUGUCCACUGUACAACACAGGGAACUAUGUUCAACAUCUUGUAAUAAGCCACAAUGGCAAAGAAUAUGAAAAAGAAUAUAUAUAUAUAUCUGUAUCUGAAUCCAAUUGCUGUACACCAGAAACAAAGACAGCACUGUAAAUCAACUAUACUUCAAUUUGAAGAUAAAUUUAAGAAGUAAAAAGUUAUUCAUUAGCAAAAACAGGAAAUUUAAUUCCUUUCAAUUUCCAGUGAAUUUUUGUAUCUCCUUACAUUUGAAUGACUAAAAUGGAAUGAAAUAGAAACAGCUUAGUCCUAAAAUUCAAUGAAAGUCAUACAGGGUGCAGAUCAGGAUAUGCCAGAGGUUUUGAUUUUUAACAAGGGAUGUUUGCCCUCCUGGUGGGGCCCAGGUUUCCUUUCCUAAGUGUGGGGAUGGAGAGCUAAUUGCCUCCUCCACAGUUGCUGCAUCUAGUCUCAUUUUACCUGGAGCUUCUUAGAUUUGCACUAACAGGGGCACAUAUUGAGACUUUUCAUUUUAAUCGUAACAACACAGGACACUAACACUAAUUGUUCAAAUUUAUCAUUGGAAGUUUUUGAACCUGUACAUCUUUAGCAUGUACAUCUUCAUGAUUAGAUUUAACACUGAACUACUUUGCAACAAAAGCACAUCUCUUUUCACGCCCUUUUGUAUGUGAGAUUAAACAUCUUAAGAUGGUCCUUAUCUGGGCCUUACUAUUGCUAAUGGUUUUGGUAUUUAUGAGAAUCAUAGUUUCAGGUUUUGAGAUGAUAGCAUUUUUUAUAUGAAAUGCAUUAAAAUAAAACUGUAGGAAAUAUUUUCAUGUUUAUAAAGAUUUCCCUGAUUUAAAAAAACUUAUAGGAGUUCCUGUAGUGGCUCAGCGGUAAAGAAUCUGACCUGUAUCCAUGAGGACGUGGGUUUGAUCCCUGGCCUCCCUCAGUGGGUUAAGGAUCUGGCAUUACUGUGAACUGUGGUGGAAGUUGCAGAUGUGGCUUGGAUUUGGCAUUGCUGUGGUAUAGGCUGGCAGCUGCAGCUCCGAUACCACCCCUAGCCUGAGGAACUUCCAUAUGCUGUGGGUGUGGCCCUAAAAAGACAAAACAAAACAAAACAAAAAAACCCUACUAAGCAAGGUCAUAUUCCCCAAAAGUUUAGAUUUCAAUAUUAAUUGUCAAAACUUUUUCAAGUUUUGAAUGACUGAUUUCAUGAUAAAAGUCACCUUGCUAAAUUACUGUUGUUUAAAUUGGGUCCUUUCACAUUCUUUCAAAUACCAUGUUCCCUGUUAUAGAAUUAUAAAAAGGAGACAAAAAUGGUAGUAGGCAUUGAUGUAACGUCUGUGCUACAUUUCAACCGUGCUGGAAAAAUAAGUCUUUGAGUUCUGCUGAAAACAACUUAUAAUAGAGAUUUAGCCCUAACUUAUAAUAGAGAUUUAGCCCCAGGAAUAUAUGUCUAUAAAAUAGUCAUGUUCAGAUAAAUAAUGAUUGGAAUUUUGGGUGAAUUAGAGGGUUUUAAAGGCUUCCAACUGCUGCAUGAUUUCAUUUUGGCAGCUCAGAUCAUGUUCUCCAACUUGGAGAUACCCAUCCCUGAUCAAAGCGAUGAGAGGUCUAAGAUCCCUUCAUCCUCUUCGACUUUCCAGUGGGGUCCCACUAAGAACACACAGCAUCGCUCUCCCAUUCUUUGCCCUUUCUUGUCCUUAACAGCUUUCUUUCUAUUACCAGUGGAAGUCUCACUACCCUCACAAAUAUUAAUGAUGGUUUGUUUAUUCUGGGUGUUCAAUUCCUUCUAACUGUGUUUAUACUAUGUUUUUACAAAGUAAUCUUUGAAUCCUUUCAUCUGGCUGUGCAACUGUGUAGGCAUCAGAGAGCUCCUAAUUUAUAUUUCCUGCAGCAACCAUUACCUGCAGCAACCCGCAGGGCUGAAUGGUACCUGGGCACAGUUGGCUGCUUGAGUUUAUUCUUGAUGGCCAUUCAGUCGCCAGUCGCCGGAGCCGAAUUCAUGCUGGAGAGUUUUAGAGUCAGUGCUUGCGAAAGAGGGGGAGGCAGGGAGGACCAGCUUCCCAACACCCUCCCCACCCAAGAAUAGUCCUAUUCUAAUAAUCUAAAGAUGUGUUUAGAAUUUUCAGUUGGCAUGACUUUAGC
rnacentral:lncRNA from 1 species